UCUGUUAAGUUAUGCGCAACAUUAUGAUCUUCUGACCGUAAACGUAUUCUUAGGCCACAUUCGAUUUGUUUUCAAAAAUCACGUAUUAGGCGGUAUCGAAAUAUAUUUAUCUUGGUGCUUUGGUGUUGGUAUUCUGGGUUUCUAAGCAAAUGACAAGAGGUAAUCAAAGAGAUCUUGCUCGUGCUAAAAAUUUAAAGAAACAACAAGAACUUCAAAAGGCUCAGGCAAUGAAAGAUUAUCCGAAAAGAAAGGAAAGAGAUUCAGAUAUUAUGCGUCAAAAGCAAAAGAUGGCCGAGGAAAAAAAGAUGGCUGAAGCUGGAGGGGGUGACCAAAAAAGCAAGUAGAGUUUAAAGUUUGAAUCUGCAAGAUAUGUUGAUAUAAGCGAAUUAAUUAAAGAAGUUUUUCUUUUCAAAAGAAAUGGCGUAUUGUUAUAAAUUUUUAGUAAAUUUAUGUUAAAUAUUUGUAUUUACUUAAUAAGAUUGGAGUAAGCAAGUCUUUUUUAAAAAGAAAGUUGUGAUGACAAUGA